AGAAUGAACGCUGGCGGCAUGCCUAACACAUGCAAGUCGAACGAAUUACCUUCGGGUAGUUAGUGGCGCACGGGUGCGUAACGCGUGGGAAUCUGCCCUUGGGUUCGGAAUAACAGUGAGAAAUUACUGCUAAUACCGGAUAAUGACGUAAGUCCAAAGAUUUAUCGCCCAAGGAUGAGCCCGCGUAAGAUUAGCUAGUUGGUGGGGUAAAGGCCUACCAAGGCGACGAUCUUUAGCUGGUCUGAGAGGAUGAUCAGCCACACUGGGACUGAGACACGGCCCAGACUCCUACGGGAGGCAGCAGUGGGGAAUAUUGGACAAUGGGCGAAAGCCUGAUCCAGCAAUGCCGCGUGAGUGAUGAAGGCCUUAGGGUUGUAAAGUCCUUUUAACGGGGAAGAUAAUGACGGUACCGUAGAAUAAGCCCCGGCUAACUUCGUGCCAGCAGCCGC
rnacentral:rRNA from 1 species